ACUACGAGCACCAGCUUGAAACCCAAAGGACUUGGCGGUGCUUUAGAUCCACCUAGAGGAGCCUGUCCUAGAACCGAUAACCCCCGUUUAACCUCACCCUUCCUUGUUUCUCCCGCCUAUAUACCGCCGUCGUCAGCUUACCCUGUGAAGGUCUCAUAGUAAGCAAAAUUGGCACAGCCUAAAACGUCAGGUCGAGGUGUAGCGUAUGGAAGGGGAAGAGAUGGGCUACAUUCCCUAAUAUAAGUGAAUACGAACGAUGUGCUGAAACACACAUCCAAAGGAGGAUUUAGUAGU
rnacentral:rRNA from 1 species